rnacentral:rRNA from 1 species
CAUAGGUUAAUGAGGCGAACCGGGGGAACUGAAACAUCUAAGUACCCCGAGGAAAAGAAAUCAACCGAGAUUCCCCCAGUAGCGGCGAGCGAACGGGGAGCAGCCCAGAGCCUGAAUCAGUGUGUGUGUUAGUGGAAGCGUCUGGAAAGGCGCGCGAUACAGGGUGACAGCCCCGUACACAAAAAUGCACAUACUGUGAGCUCGAUGAGUAGGGCGGGACACGUGGUAUCCUGUCUGAAUAUGGGGGGACCAUCCUCCAAGGCUAAAUACUCCUGACUGACCGAUAGUGAACCAGUACCGUGAGGGAAAGGCGAAAAGAACCCCGGCGAGGGGAGUGAAAAAGAACCUGAAACCGUGUACGUACAAGCAGUGGGAGCACGCUUAGGCGUGUGACUGCGUACCUUUUGUAUAAUGGGUCAGCGACUUAUAUUCUGUAGCAAGGUUAACCGAAUAGGGGAGCCGAAGGGAAACCGAGUCUUAACUGGGCGUUAAGUUGCAGGGUAUAGACCCGAAACCCGGUGAUCUAGCCAUGGGCAGGUUGAAGGUUGGGUAACACUAACUGGAGGACCGAACCGACUAAUGUUGAAAAAUUAGCGGAUGACUUGUGGCUGGGGGUGAAAGGCCAAUCAAACCGGGAGAUAGCUGGUUCUCCCCGAAAGCUAUUUAGGUAGCGCCUCGUGAAUUCAUCUCCGGGGGUAGAGCACUGUUUCGGCAAGGGGGUCAUCCCGACUUACCAACCCGAUGCAAACUGCGAAUACCGGAGAAUGUUAUCACGGGAGACACACGGCGGGUGCUAACGUCCGUCGUGAAGAGGGAAACAACCCAGACCGCCAGCUAAGGUCCCAAAGUCAUGGUUAAGUGGGAAACGAUGUGGGAAGGCCCAGACAGCCAGGAUGUUGGCUUAGAAGCAGCCAUCAUUUAAAGAAAGCGUAAUAGCUCACUGGUCGAGUCGGCCUGCGCGGAAGAUGUAACGGGGCUAAACCAUGCACCGAAGCUGCGGCAGCGACGCUGAUGCGUUGUUGGGUAGGGGAGCGUUCUGUAAGCCUGUGAAGGUGUGCUGUGAGGCAUGCUGGAGGUAUCAGAAGUGCGAAUGCUG